CCCAGUAACGGCGAGUGAAGCGGCAACAGCUCAAAUUUGAAAUCUGGCCCCCCGCGGGCCCGAGUUGUACUUUGGAGAGGACGCUUCUGGCGCGGCGCCGUCCGAGUUCCCUGGAACGGGACGCCGGAGAGGGUGAGAGCCCCGUACGGGCGGCCGCCUAGCCUCUGCGAAGCUCCUUCGACGAGUCGAGUAGUUUGGGAAUGCUGCUCAAAAUGGGAGGUAAAUUUCUUCUAAAGCUAAAUACCGGCCAGAGACCGAUAGCGCACAAGUAGAGUGAUCGAAAGAUGAAAAGCACUUUGAAAAGAGGGUCAAACAGUACGUGAAAUUGUUGAAAGGGAAGCGCCUGUGGCCAGACUUGCGCCCCGCGGACCACCCGGCGCCUCGCGCGCCGGGGCACGCCAGCGGGGCGCAGGCCAGCAUCGGCUCUCUCGGGGGGACAAAGGCCGCGGGAACGUAGCGCCCUCGCGGCGUAUUAUAGCCCGCGGCGCCAUGCCCCCGGGGGGGCCGAGGACCGCGCUCCGGCAAGGAUGCUGGCGUAAUGGCCACCGGCGACCCGUCUUGAAACACGGACCAAGGAGUCAAGCAUUGGGGCGAGUGUCUGGGUGGCAAGCCCGCACGCGGAAUGAAAGUGAACGCAGGUGGGAGCUUCGGCGCACCACCGACCGAUCCUGAUGUCCUCGGAUGGAUUUGAGUAGGAGCCCCGCCGCUUGGACCCGAAAGAUGGUGAACUAUGCCUGUAUAGGGUGAAGCCAGAGGAAACUCUGGUGGAGGCCCGCAGCGGUUCUGACGUGCAAAUCGAUC
rnacentral:rRNA from 1 species